UUAGAGAUGGGCCUUCUGGGUAAAACCAGACAGAGUGCAAGGUGCUGCAUGGCUGUCGUCAGCUCGUGUCGUGAGAUGUUGGGUUAAGUCCCGCAACGAGCGCAACCCUUAUCCUAUGUUGCCAGCACGUAAUGGUGGGGACUCGUAGGAGACUGCCGGGGUCAACUCGGAGGAAGGUGGGGAUGACGUCAAGUCAUCAUGCCCCUUAUGCCCAGGGCUGCAAACACGCUACAAUGGCCGGUACAGAGGGCUGCGAUCCCGCGAGGGUAAGCGAAUCCCACAAAGCCGGUCUCAGUUCGGAUUGGAGUCUGCAACUCGACUCCAUGAAGCCGGAGUUGCUAGUAAUCCUGGAUCAGCACGCCAGGGUGAAUACGUUCCCGGGCCUUGUACACACCGCCCGUCACACCACGAAAGUCGGCAACACCCGAAGCCGGUGGCCCAACCUACUUGUAGGAGGGAGCCGUCGAAGGUGGGGUCGGUGAUUGGGGUGAAGUCGUAACAAGGUAGCCGU
rnacentral:rRNA from 1 species